rnacentral:piRNA from 1 species
UCAAUUUCUUUUGUGAGUUUGGG